rnacentral:rRNA from 1 species
UACGGGGGGGCAAGCGUUGUUCGGAAUUACUGGGCGUAAAGGCUCGUAGGCGGCCAACUAAGUCAGACGUGAAAUCCCUCGGCUUAACCGGGGAACUGCGUCUGAUACUGGAUGGCUUGAGGUUGGGAGAGGGAUGCGGAAUUCCAGGUGUAGGCGGUGAAAUGCGUAGAUAUCGUAAGGAAGACCAGUGGCGAAGGCGGGUCUCUGGACAGUUCCUGACGGUGAGGCACGAAGGUCAGGGGAGCAAACGGG